rnacentral:rRNA from 1 species
UACGUAGGGUGCAAGCGUUAAUCGGAAUUACUGGGCGUAAAGCGUGCGCAGGCGGUUAUGCAAGACAGAUGUGAAAUCCCCGGGCUCAACCUGGGAACUGCAUUUGUGACUGCAUGGCUAGAGUGCGGCAGAGGGGGAUGGAAUUCCGCGUGUAGCAGUGAAAUGCGUAGAUAUGCGGAGGAACACCGAUGGCGAAGGCAAUCCCCCUGGGGCCUGCACUGACGCUCAUGCACGAAAGCGUGGGGGAGCAAACAGG